UACGAAGGGGGCUAGCGUUGCUCGGAAUCACUGGGCGUAAAGGGUGCGUAGGCGGGUCUUUAAGUCAGGGGUGAAAUCCUGGAGCUCAACUCCAGAACUGCCCUCGAUACUGAUGAGCUCGAGUCCGGGAGAGGUGAGUGGAACUGCGAGUGUAGAGGUGAAAUUCGUAGAUAUUCGCAAGAACACCAGUGGCGAAGGCGGCUCACUGGCCCGGUACUGACGCUGAGGUGCGAAAGCGUGGGGAGCAAACAGG
rnacentral:rRNA from 1 species